CCUGGCAAUCUCACGAGCCUCAGGUGCACAGUGCAGAGAUGCUAUGAAAGACGAAAUUACACAGCUUAAAACUUAGUUGCAGGUGGUUUACUUGAAGGGAAGGACAAGAUUAUGACAGAGGGACAAGACUUGGAGGUAAACAGUAGGAUAGGACAGAACACAUGAGAGAGGGACAAGACUACGUUGGUUUUGGCUUGACACUUGCCAAGUGAAAAAACAAGUGUGAGUCAUAAUAAAGGUAACUCAAAGUGUGAUGUGACUGCAGUGGAGAACUGAGCAGACCAUACUGCAUGAGUCAGCAGCACAGAUAAAAAGGGUGAUAAGAAGCAGCAGAUGGGACAUGUCUUUACUAAAACAAUGCUGCAGGACACAGGUCUCCUUUGCUCUAAUGAAAUGGUCGUGCCAAGCUGCCAUGCGCUGGCUCGUACGCUCGCGAUCCCGUGAAUCAAAGAACGCCGUGCACAGAGGUUAGAAAAGCAGUAGGCAAACAGGUGCAGACAGAUCCACAUGCAAAAAAGCACAGAAAAGCAAAGCAACAGCACCCCCCCCCCAACACGCACACACCCUGACGAGCACCCUGGGACACCACCCCCAAACGACUCGGGCAGCGGGGUGGGGAGGAAGAGAAGAGGGGAAGGAAGCUGUUACUGGGAUCAUGGCAUUCAACCUGGCCGACAGCCAGUUCUGCUGUUCCUGCUAGUCAGACUCUGCCUUCCUGGUGGGCGCCGAGGGCGGGAGUCUGCGGCACUGCAGCCCCCCCGGCCCCCUUCUGCCUCCCCAGCGUGCACCUGCAGAGCCGGGAGGCAGCCGCAGCCGCACAGCUCAUACCCAUCUUGAGAAGGCAAAAGAGCAGCUGGGGCUAUUUGUGGAGCUAUGCUCCAGUACACCUGCAACUCAGGCUUAAAGCUCCAUCUUUUUGUUCAGGAUUGCAAACCCCGUUUUGGUGCGAGAUCGGAACAUUUAGCCCCGAGAAAUCAAGCACCAUGUUCUUGGGAAGCAGAAACCAUACAGCCAUGUGCAAGGCCACAUUACCUGCAAAAUGCAGCUGCUGCCCUGACCACAUAAAUGACCUGCAACGGUGGUUCUUCGCCGUCAGGAUCCCUACUCACUGCACUUUUGAACCUGGUCAGGAAAGACAACGGCCCUCUGUCACGAGCUCAAAAGCAGACAGAGACAUAAGGCAAAGCUCAAAUCGCCUUUCAUCUCACUUCUUGGCUGAGGCAAUUCCUGAAAUGCACUGCUCAAUUUGCAUGUGGACGUAGAGCGCCAACUAACCCGAAGACAAUUAGCAACAAACUGUGAUCAGAACUCAGACUGAGGCUCAGCGAGGACUGCCUUGUCCUCAGCCUGGAGAAAGCGCUGCUCCUACGUAACUCCCACUACGGGGCUCUUGGGCCCUCAGCACGGAGGCUGCUAAGCAGUGACAAAUCGAUGACAAACCAUUACUGAUAGUUCUGCAAAAAGGUUCCUAUGGCUCUUGGCCACAGCCCCCUGGCAAUAUACACACUUCUGCACAUCCGCUUUCAAAAGGAGCCAUUACAUGCACUCAUCCAUCUGACCAGAGAUGCAAGACACAGCUAGGUGAGGGUGACACCCUGCAUCAAAGGUGGCCGAGGAUGGGUGUCAAGCUAGGAGAGCAGAAGGGAAAGAUAUACGUGAUAGAGAGCAGAGCUCACGUUGCUAAGAGUUAACCAGCACAGUACGUGCCAGGAGCAAUAACUUCUCCCCCUGCAUGAACCGUGACCAGGAGCAAUGCCAGCGAGUGUGCACAGCAAAAGAAGUCAUGGCUAAGAGAGAUGGAAGAGAAGGAAUCACCUGAUCCUCCCCCCGGUGCACAUCUCUGAAGAUUUAUCUCAGCACCACAUCCUUAAUUCCUUGCCCAGUUUCCAAGAACUGGCCUUUCAUAGACACGUUAGAGAAAGAAAAUGAGUUUGUCUAGUAUCUUUACUUCCAGCUCAUGUUUGCAAAGCUCCCUCAGAAGAAAACUGCCAGACUCCACAAGCGAUCAGUGUUAUCACACUUGAUGCAUAUGUGCCUUGAGCUUGCUGCCCCUCCUGGGACCAACAGCCAUCACUGCAGCCCUGAAGGGAUGGUGGCACUACUUUUUACUAAAAGUGCUCAGCCUCACCUCCUCGUUUACAACUGGAUGAAUUUGAAAGGCAGAGUCACUUCUGCAAGAUCCAAGAAUGUGACUGGGAACACAACAGCAAAGCCCCAAACCCCGUUCCUCUCCUCUGUCUGCUGUGCAACCCUCUUCUCUCCCGCUGGGCACAGUGGAGCUAGGUCACCACCUUCCACAUA